rnacentral:rRNA from 1 species
GGGUGCGAUCAUACCAGUGUUAAUGCACCGGAUCCCAUCAGAACUUCGCAGUUAAGCACACUUGGGCCAGAGUAGUACUGGGAUGGGUGACCUCCCGGGAAGUCCUGGUGUUGCACCCU